CGAGUGCAGUUUAAGAGAAAACCAAGCUUUCUGCGGUCGCAAUGUUUAGGAGAUGGCAGAUUCAUGUAUAUGGUGACUCAAUUGUUCGUGGUGUAAGUUUUGAUCAGGAUCAGUUUGGUGGCAAAAUAUUCUGCUAUCCGGGUGCCACUGUUAGGAAUCUUCGACAGAUAAUUAGAGCACAAACAGACUUUGACUCCACAGUGGAUGCAGUUGUAAUCCAUAUUGGAACUAACAAUCUUGGCAAUAGUGUCUGGGAAAGAACUGGAGGACAA